rnacentral:rRNA from 1 species
UACGUAGGGCGCAAGCGUUAUCCGGAAUUAUUGGGCGUAAAGAGCUCGUAGGCGGUUUGUCGCGUCUGCCGUGAAAGUCCGGGGCUCAACUCCGGAUCUGCGGUGGGUACGGGCAGACUAGAGUGAUGUAGGGGAGAUUGGAAUUCCUGGUGUAGCGGUGGAAUGCGCAGAUAUCAGGAGGAACACCGGUGGCGAAGGCGGGUCUCUGGGCCAAACUGACGCUGAGGAGCGAAGCGUGGGAGCGAACAGG